GCCUUCUUUCCAAGGUGAGUCUUUAAAAAGUGUUCUCCCGCACUCAAGCCAGGAGGGAUGCAAGGAACAGGAACCCAAGCGCAAUUUUGCCUCCAAGCUUCCAGAGGCUCCUCUUUUCUUUCCCCACCACCGGCAUCCCGGGUCACCUCUUGACUCCCCACGGCCCUCCUGAUUAUCCUGCAGUACCCCCAAACUGACUGCUUAAAAUUAAUGAGUUGACAAGCGAGUCCCAACCCACCUGCCAACUCGCUGGCUGCCUAAGAAGCUGCCUUUACCUGCCUGGACCAGACCCUCCCCCCUCCCCGCCGCUCCCCAAUCUCCCGCCCCCUGGGACCGCUCCCCGCACCCCCGGCGCACCUGUCUCCUAUCUUUUAGCCAAAAUCCCGCCCAAAGGCAUGUCUGCCGGGCACUGGUGCAACGCCCCCUACCCACGCCCUCCGGGCUCAGAUUCCCGGGUUCCGGACUCCAGAGACCUGUCCGCCUGGCGUCCCCCGACCGCCGAGUUUCCGCGGGCGCCACCGGGGCCCUCCGGCGGACCCUCAAGGGCCCGCAGGCCGCCCCCGCGCUCAGCUGAGACACGGCAGUGCGCGAAGCCUGGGCACUCACCCAGCGGGAGAGGGCAGGAGGCGGCGCAGCGGGCGGUAGCGGCAGCCUGGCCUCGCACUCUGCGCUCACGGCUGUUUUCCUCGUUCCCACUUUUCCUGGUGUACCACGAUGGGCGCCAAUGCAGGUCCCCCAAGCUCCGCACCUCCCUGAGGGCACCGCGCUGUCCCUGCCAGAAAGAUCCUUGGCGCACAGAGCACAGAAUGACUCGAGCGGGGGCUCGUGGGUUCCUUGGCGCUGUGCCCUCCUUCCAGGCGACAGCGGUGCUGCUGGACGGGGUUCGAGCCUUGGGCUGCCGGUCAGACUUUCAGGUUAAACAGUAGCGCCGCUCUAGCUUUUCCUCUGCCUCUUCCUUCUUCGGUCCCCCACUCCUUGUCAGCGCCUCGGUGGCCCCGGGUGGAAGAUGCGAGGCGCAAGCCGGGGCAGCAGGAAUGUGGUGUGUGUGGUGGUGCGUGUGAUCAGCUGCAGAGCCGCGCUAGCCCCGCCUGUCCCUGCCUUCCCCCGCUGCUCCACCAGCCUGAAUUGCACCUCCGAGCCUCAGUUGAGCCUGCAGUGUCUGGCAGCUCAGGAAAAGCGAGCCCCUCCAAUGAGAAGCGGCUCUAAAUCUGCUCCCAAACGCCCGCCAACUCUCCUUCCUCGCCCCCUGCAUCAGUCAGAAAGCCCCCAGUAAAAAGCAAAUGCUGCUCUCUGAAGGAAGAGAAGUACAAUAUGUCUCUGUAACUGGGCACUCGUUUAAACGGAUGCCUGGAUUUGGGGUUGCAUCAUAAACAGAGAUCCCAACUGGCUCUCAGAUAGGCAUAUUCAGAACUCAAAGUUGCAGGAAGCAGGAGGGGCCUUAGGAUGAGAACAGAAAGGAGAGAAACACUAAUAGAAAUCCUUUCUGCAAAUGGCUCUAUUAGAAAGGCUCAGAAUAUCUAGAGUUAAUGUGUGCCUAUAAUUGAAGGAAGAAGGCUGGAUUUUAAUGGCCUCAGCCUGGCAGUUAACUUAAUGGAGGGGCAAAGUGCAGAAAUAGCUAAUAGAGUGCCCAUGAGUAAAUACCAGCUUGUUUACCACAUUUCACGUUUGCUUUAAAAUGCCAUGGUAUCUUAAGGCAUAUUUCAGUCAGCCCAGAUACAUGAAGUUGAUUUUGUUGGAAAAUCAUCAAAUCAUGGCAUUAUAAAAGCAAAAGGCUGCUAUAAGAUUCCCAUGGAAAGGAAAAUAAGUACAUAAUUACUCUAUGCAUUCUCUGCCAAUAGGUACUCCUCUCUACCUCUCUACUUAUAAACCAACUGCAGGAAAGUGCAUGUCAGGUUGUCAGCCAUAAGCAGGGGACUCUCACUGUUAUUUGGUUAAAACAUCUAUCCUCAGUUACAGAUGCUUCUCCUGCCAGUUCGCUGAUAAAAGGUCAGUAACUAUCUGUUUGUUCUCUUAAAAUUACAUAAGAAGGGAAAGUGACACCGUGGGAAGUGGAAACUUCUCUGGUCCUAGAAUCAUAAGACCUGAUUUGAGUCGCGUCUGUGCCAUUUACAAGCUGUGUGACCUUGAGCAAGUAGCUGAACAACUUUGAGACCUAAUUUUCUCCCCUGAGAAAUUGGGAGUUUGAACAUUUUCCUAGUGUUGGUAUGAAAAAAGAGAGUAAAUGUGUUUUUUUUAUUUCUGCUAUGAAGGAUGUUAUAUAGUGGGCUAUAAAGUUGCAACAAGACCAAGAAGAGAUUACAAAUGAGCUUUUGGAGUUGGCAGCAUGCUGUGAACUAACACCUAUACUCUCAUCUCAUCUCUGACUACUCUCCCCCAAGCUCAUUAUGCCCUUGGCAGCUUGGCUUCUUUCAAUUCCUGAUACACACCAAAGCAUAGCUCCAGCCCUGGGCCUUUGCACUAGAUCUGUUCCCUCUACCUAGAAAGUUCUUGCUCUGCCGCUCCGUGUUGCUCGCUCCUUCACUCAUUCAACUCUCAACCUAAAUGCAUCCUUCUCAGGGAAGCCUUCCCUAGCAUCUCAGGUAUUCCCAUCACAUCAACCUUAUCUAUGUUCCUCAUCUCACUUUUUUUUUUAGCUACCAUUUUCUUCAUUUGUUUGUUGUCUUUCUCUUCCACCAUUAUCAGUUGUAGCAUGUAAGCUGUACAAGAGCAAGGACCUCAUCUGUCUUGUUCUCUGCUAUGUCUCCAGUACCUAGAAAAGUAUCACAUACUAGGUCCACAAUAAAUAUUUAUUAGAUCAAUAAUAUGUGCCAAUCUAUAUCACUGGAAACUUUACAUGCAUUGAAGCUCUCUGAGUAAUAUGGAAUUAAAUAAAAGUAAUGACUAAAUCAGAUCACUUAUAUGGCAAUAUAAAAAACAUGUAAGUUUUUGUUGAAAAAGAGUAAUACUUCCUAUGCUCGUUAGCUUUAGAAAUGAUACUGAAUCAGGUUCCAAGUCUUUUUUAUUGUUAUUGCUGCAAUAUCCCUCAUAAUUCCCCCUCUCUUUAAAAAAAAAAAGUCACUACUGUUCUUCAAAUUCUCAUUUCAAGUUAGGCCCAACUCAAAUAACUUUCUUGUCUUUAUUUGGUUUUCCUCUCCUGCAGACUGCCCAGGAUAGUAGUACUAGAUCUCUCACCUUAAACCAUGUGUUUAGUAUUGUUAUAGAAAAUAAAAGUUCUCCAGUUAUUUCAUCUGGAAGAUCUUAAAACAUUCCCACUUUUUGAAAAACACUUUUUCAUGAAAAACCUUUGCCAUUUUCUAGCAACCAAAUUUAUAAACAAAUAAGUUUAUACUUCAGGAGACAUGGUCUAGUCUAAUCCUCUCAUUUUACAAGUGAGGAAAUUGGGGAUAUAAAGGCGAAAUAACUUGUUCAAUGUCACAGAGUUGAUAAGUGGAAACAGAUUUGACCACAGAACAAUAUGACUGUAGAACCUGGAUGCUCUACCGUCCCUUACCAGGUAGUGGCAGAGUAAGAAAAGAGCCUAGGAUUCCUGAUUCGUGGCAAAGGCCUUCUUCCUUUAUAGGCCUAGCUUCUCAUGCAGGUGAAAUCUAAGAUUCUCCAACACAUGGCAUAAUCUAGCUUUCCAAAUUAUCUCCUACCUUCCUUUUAAUGGGCACUUUGCUCUAGCCAACUUUGACUAUUAGGUAUUUCUCAAACAUGCCCUAUAUUAUCUUCAUUUGCUCACUUUUUUUCUCAUCACUUAGAAUAUCUUUUUUCUACACCUGCAAAGUUCAAAUAAUAGGCACUAGUAUGUAAGGAAAGGGAAGGACUUCUUCAUAUUUUAUUUCAAUUGCUAUUGAUGUCAUAAAGUUUUUCCUUAUAUACUCCCACUAAGAGUAAUACAUCCCUCCUCUGAACUCUCAUUUCCCUAGAUUUGCAAUGUGGCAUUUUUCACAUUCUAACUGGUAUUUCAGCUUAGAAUUUAUGAAGAUUCCCUCUGAGCACCCUGAGCAUCGACUUCUUAAUAAUUUGGUACCAUCCGGUAUUCCAUGAUCCAAACUGGCCUUACGCAUGAUAAACACUUGAUAGAGUUUUAGAGAGAACCAAAAUUUAUUAAGAACCUACUUUAAUGUGCCAGGUAAUGUGCUUAGAACUGUACAGGUUAGCAUUUAUAUUACACAGAUAGGCAGUGAAGCAGGGAUUCCAAAACACAUCUGCUUAUUGUCAAGAUUUCUAUUCUUUUAAUGACACAGUCCUGCCAGGGAAAUUAAAUAUUUUUAAGGAUGCCAUUUUGUCACACUUUAAAUGUCACUGAGGCUUUGACCUAUUUGUGACAUUGAGUUCAACUCCUUGAAAAUGUUCACAGAUGAACCAAACUCAUCUUUUCCUGUGAGGGCAGCUGCUUCCAGGAUGAGGUUCUGGAGGGCAGCCAGCCCCGUUGUGCAGAGGCCAGGAGGAUGUGUGGGGAAUGGAUGAUGGAAGGCCUCCUAAUCAGGUGCUGUCUGAUGAACUGAAGUGAAACACUGCAAGCAGAAUGGGUCAAAGGAGAGAGAGGCACACAAUUUCAGGCCAGGCCACAAAGCCAGAAAAGAUCUGGAAAAUGUAACUGCAGAAUACAAAAUCAUCUGGAGUCUAACAUUUAAAGAUAGGGUGGUAGAUUACGAGAAAACUACCAUACAGUUCAUGAGGGUGGGGGGGAUCAAAGCUAUAUUUAACAAACUCGGCUAGGAGCAAGCUACAUAUUUAUUCUGCCUGGAAAGUACUUCUGGCAGUGUCUUAUUUGCUGUGUCCAAAAUUAGUAAUAUCAUGAAUAACUAUAACUUCAAAAAUGAAGAAUAUGAUUCUGUGUUUUAUACUUUCUACAUGCACUUAUCCUAUUAUGUAACUGAACGGUGUGGGGAAAAGAGUAUAUCUAAUAUGAAAGAAAAAACCUCUGCCCCUGAGAAGUCCAAAUUCUAAAAAUGACUUAAUCGGCCAACUGUGACAAAAGCAAGGCUUUGAACAUCUCAGUAUCCCUGGAGUCUGUCUUCUCGUCAUUCACUUAUUGCCACUGUGACAUACCACGUGACAGUCUGCAUGGCCAGAAAUAUUAAUUACUGUCUGGGGAAGAUGGUAUUAUAUUUAAUACUCCUUUACUCCUAAUCCUACCAUUCUCCAAAAGUACAAUGAAGAGAUGGGCAGGCCUGGGGAUCUAAUGCUUUCAUACAUCAAAAGGUGACACAUUCCCAUUGCCACCAUAAGUUUUGCUAUAUCUGGGAAGAGGUCACUCUUUGAAAUUCUAUAUGCAAUUUUGGGAAAUAGAAUGGUGUUCCUUUUUUUUUACCCUCCUAAAAAAGAAUGCUGAAGUUAUUUUCUCUCUUGCCAAAAAGAGAAGAAAAAAACGAGAAGGAGAAAUCAGUUUGAGAUUUGAUUGCGCAGACGUGAGAACAGAGGCAUUGCCAUACCAUGGCAGAUGACUCAUCCAGCCUUUAAUCUUGGCUCCAAACCCUGGCCUCUGCCUGAGGAUUCGGAGAAAGGCAAUAUGCCAUUCUAACUUGUAGACCAUUUAUUUAACAAGGUUUUCCUGACUUAAACCUUCUCUUUACUGCAAAGCUGUACAUUGGAGUAUGCUGAUUUAUGAAAUAAUAAGGACUUUUAAAGUCUUCAAGAGCUCGACAUCUGUUUAAAAAGAAAUAACUGUUUUAUCAGACCUAAAGUUUUUUUUGGCAGGGCUUCAAAGAAAAAUAACAAUUUCCUAUUCUCAUCUAGGUACAUGGAAGUUAUACUGAGGAUUUCUCCCCCUGAGAACACCAAUGAAGUCGCAGAUGUCAAAAUAUGUAUAAGAAUUUUGCCUAAUUCAGUACAAUAAACCCUUAAUGUGCACAAACCAUGUAUCUAGCACUAUGCCAAGGUUUGUGCAGAUCAGAAAUGAAGAAAUUAUGUCAACAAAAUAUAUUAUGACAAUAUGUAUUUUUUCAAAAUAAUAAUGACAAUAAUAAUAAUCAAUACAAUGUGGUAAGUACCUAAAGGAAGAGGACUGCUUUAUUUGCAUUCAGAGGAACAAGUAAGUCCCUUCAGGAAAUAUGGCUCUGGCUAAUGGGAGUUUUCCAAACCUAUCAAACUGGAAUCACUUACAUUUGGUUCAGCAUUAAAUUCUCUCUGCUCAGACUACUUAAUUUUAGAACUCUGAGAACGGAUUUUUAAUGACAAGAUUUUUAAGGGUAAGAUUUUUACACAAUUAGAAUAAAAUAAGAAAUAAUUUGUAACCAUGUUAUAGAACCUUUCAAACAUGUAUUAAAAUUCUGGGAGAAAAAUACAAACAGUAGAUUUUAGAGGUGGUAAAAUUUUCACUCUAAUAUUCUGUGUAUGUAUAUACAGAAAAGAUUGCAAUUAUUUUUCAGUAAUUGGAAAACAGUAAUAAAAGUUUUAAACAAUGUUUAAAAAUAUUAAGGCAGAUAAUAACGUCAACACAGCUUAUCUGGGAAGCAGAUGCUGAGAGAAAGUUAAGAGGGGAAGUUUCUUAGGGUUCAAUGCCUAAAAAAGAUAAAAGGCGAAAGAAGAAAAUGAAGCAGAGACAGACUUCAACUGUGAUGCAGAGCUGACACCUGUGAAAGGAAAGAUGGAGAGGUAUAAGAAGAAGAAUUGAGUAGAGAGGGACUCAGACUACGAUGUAAAUCAGAUGUAAGUCAGAUAAAGUCUUGGCUAACUCAAUGGGGAGCUCCCGAGCCCAGCGUGCCCAUUAGAAGAGUACCACAUUGGGAAAAGAUGGCCUGGUCCUAAUAGCCCACCGAGUUGUCAGUGGCUGGGAGCUGCCCUUGUCAGUCCUUGUCUUUAGCUGAAUGCUGCUUCAGAUCUGGAAAGGUGCUGUAACUGGAGGCCAUGAGCUAACUGCAUGGCCUCCAGGUGAAAGGGCAAGCUCUUCCUGAAGGAAGAUCCAGUGGCAUAUCUCCAUGGCUGCCAGACAGAGUAGAGAAAUGGAACUUAUCGGUGUCUCUUCAGAAGUUUUGUUACAAAUAUCCAGAAAUAUUUCUAUAAUCUAAUCAGCAGAUUAUGAAUAUAUGCAUUAGACUUUAGUUUUGGUGCAAUCACAUGAAUUCCAUUUUGUGGAGUAAGAGGUGACUGGGGUAUAGGGUACAACCCAUAGCCAUCCAUGUUCAUCUUUGUUUUGAAUAUAAUUGGCUAGAAGAUAUACAUAUAUCUAUGUAACUUCCUCUAGCAUCCUCCAGUAUGGAGGCUGCAUUAAGACUGCAUGAAGGAGAGGGAGAGAAGGGAGAAACAGAGCAGCUGGACAAGAGGACAGGUAUAGGGAAUAAGGGAGAAGCCAGUAAGGCAGGAAAGACCCUCCGUGACAAAGGGGCAGGGAACAGAACUCAAACAUUUAAUGGCAGGUAACCCAGGUUAGAAUGGUAAAUUGAAAGGUGAAUAUAAAGGGAGAAUGGUGAAAUGAAUUUUCUGAAAUUAAUUGCUGUGUUUAUAGUUUUUAGCCAUGCAUCGGAAUCACCUCAGGACUCCACUCCCAAUCAAUUAUAUAUCUGGGGGAGGACCAAGGCGUUGGUAUUUUUCAGAAGCUCCACUGGUGAUUCUGACAGCACAGCUAGGAUUAAGAAACUGAUCAAUGGGAACGGCAUGCCUGUUGCAGAGGAGCUUCCCUGGGAAAUGUCACACACAGAACAUCAAUCUUCCUUCCCCACUCCUGAGAUCCCUCAUUCUUUGGCACCAGGAACAGUUGCAAUUAGUAAACCCUGGUUCCCUGCUGUCUCACAAAUCGCAAGAGUCCAACGUGUGGAUAUAAACUUUUGUUCAUGGGAGGAUCUUUCUCCCAGUGGAAAAGCAACUGGGAAAAGCAGGACACACUGCACAGUGACUGCAGUUUCAUCCAAUGCCACCACCCAUGCAGGCAUAAAUAAUGAACAUGGAUGGGGGAGUCUGGAGCUGCUGAAUUGUAAGGCUCAUAAAUGUUUAAACUUUUUCCAUUAAUAAUAUUUCUGCUUUCUGUGUACGUGUAUGUAGAAGUUCUGUCUUUAUAAUUCUCACCACUUUGCAUCAUACUUUCCAGGAGGAAGAAAGAACACAGAAAUUAAAAUUCUCACAAAGGUUACCAUUAAGCUAGAGGAAGACCACACCACUGUGUGUCCACAAAGAUACAGAGCCAGGCCGGGUUCAGCCAUGCUGGUCAUCUGCUCUAUAUAAUACAAUUAUUUAGAGAUGGUGGGUAGAGAACAACUACAGAAAAAAAAAAACUGCCAGAAACUAGAAUGUCAUUUUUACACACUCAUUUGUAGAAUUCCUCCCAGUUUUUACUGAAGGGAACUUUAAAAUGAUUUUCAUUUGGGGAAAGAACUGUUUUGAGUUUACCCUAUAAGAUGGCCACUAAAACUCACCCACUUUCAUGAUUACCCAGCCAUCCUCAGAUCAUCUUCAUGAUUUUCCUGGAAAUAACGGAAGAGGCCCUGGGGAUGAUUUUAUUGGUAGAGUGGGAAUGUAUUAAAAUUCUCUACUUCCUUGUUACAUGGUCUUUCCUCCACCCUACAAGGUGUGUGCUUGUAACUCAAAUUUCCAUUUGAGUAAUUAGCAAUUAUUAUUUAAAACUAACCUGAAAAUAAAAAUUGUAUUCAAUUCAUUCAUAGGGAGCAUCUACCUAUUUAUUAUUACCACAUAGGUGAUGUGACUCUAGAAACAUCUUGGUAUUCAAAUAGCCAAUUAAAAUAUAAAAUGUAAUGAUUUUCUAAAGCUACUCGUUUUCCUUCUCUCAUCUCUAUCUACUAAUUGGAAAGUCUAUUCUCCAAACACAGCAAAGAUGAUUGACAGAAUUCUAAAAAUACACAAAUUUCCCUAUUAAAGAGGGUGAAUGGAUGUUAGCACUGUAUCAGACACAUAAUAUUAAGGAGAUACCUGCUGUUUAACAUUAACAUUCUGUGUAGUUUUUGUUUUGCAUCAAACAGACAUCAAAAAGUGAAUAAAAACAUGUCGUGAAAUUACCAAAUAAUAAAUUAACUUCCUGGAUACAAGGAAGUUAUUUUAGCAAGUUCUUUUUAAUAAAAGCAAAGAAUGGGGAUGUAACAAUUAGAGAAAUGUGGAGGAAAACAUAAGAAAGUUGGGAGAGGGAGGUUAAAUCUCACUUCCAGUUAUCAGUAAAGUGCACAUUCUUUUCUGUAUUCUGUGAGGCUGGAGGUGCUGCUGAUAGAAUGUCCUCACAUAUUCUGUCAAUGCCAGGAUGCAAACAUCACUAAAUAAACCCUCGUGUCAAAAUGUCACAUAGUGAUUAUUUAUGCUUCUUGACAACAUCAAUGAAUGACAAGGCUGCCUCUACAGCUGUGAAAGGUUGCAUACCAAUUGUUAGAGGUAACAUAGAUGAAGGACAAAGUAGUUAUCAGAAUUCAUUUAAACUGUGCUAUUAAAUUGGAUAUAUUUGCAGUAGCCAUCACAGUAAAUACUACUGUGAUUCUCCUGAAAGAAUAUUGCCUAAACAAUUUAACGCAGAACAUUUCCUAAUUACCAUGCAUUUCUGAAUCUCUGCUACCAUGUAGAUAUUCAUACUGAAAGAGAAGUGUCAUUUCUUUUUCUUCUUUAAUUUGUCAUUGUUUCCCAGUGUUCUUGCUUCUGGAAUUGAAUUUGAAGUCCAUUUUUUAAGGGUACUGCAAUUAUUAACGAAGUCUGGCAUGAUAAUGU
rnacentral:lncRNA from 1 species